rnacentral:rRNA from 1 species
AUUGUCCUACGGGGCGCAGCAGUGAGGAAUAUUGGUCAAUGGGCGGAAGCCUGAACCAGCCAGGUCGCGUGAGGGAAUAAGGCCCUACGGGUCGUAAACCUCUUUUGCUGGGGAGCAAGGGCGGGGACGUGUCCCGGCCCGGAGAGUACCCGGAGAAAAAGCAUCGGCUAACUCCGUGCCAGCAGCCGCGGUAAUACGGAGGAUGCGAGCGUUAUCCGGAUUUAUUGGGUUUAAAGGGUGCGUAGGCGGGCUUUUAAGUCAGCGGUAAGAAUUCGGGGCUCAACCCCGUCCGGUCGUUGAAACUG